rnacentral:rRNA from 1 species
AUGCAAAAGCUUGGCUUUAGAAAUUUCCUCACAAUACUUUUCGUUGAGCGCAAUACCUGUUGCAAAAUGCAUCAGGCUAUGCGCCUUCCACAGUUUAUGGUAUUCUUGUUUGUUUGGUCAUCCCAAGUCGGUGCAAUAUCGUCGUCGCAUGGCGCAUAUGAUGAGAAUACGAAUCAAAUGAGGCAACAAUCACCCUGGAAUAGUAGCUGGCUACCCAGAAAAGCUACAACUAACAGUGGCGUCAACCAUUAUGCUCUAAUUGAGUACUACACAGAUUCUGUACUCUUCGGUGGCAUGUCAACGUUCGAUGUUUAUGGUAUGAAAAAUGUCAAUCACCAAAUAAGCUCAUCACACAUGUGUGUGAUUAAUCAAGGGAAGGACUUCAGUAGUCAUAAUGCUGCAAUAGCUGGAUGGACGGUUAGCCCAUCCGAAUAUGGUGAUAGCAAAACACACUUCUUUACACGAUGGACGGUUGAUGGGUGUAAGUCAACUGGAUGCUAUGACUUGAAAUGCGAUGGUUUUGUGCCAGUACAAAAUGCGCCUAUCACUCCAGGAGUCACGCUAGACCACAAAAACGGAAAACUUAAGAUCACAAUCAAGAUAUUCAAGAAGAAAGAUGAUGGUGACUGGUGGUUGUACUUUGGUUAUGAUAAUCAAAGCCUUAGAGCUGUUGGAUUCUGGCCCAAAAGUAUCUUUAAUAAUAUGGCAGACCAUGCAAAUAUUGUAGAGUGGGGUGGUUACACAUUCUCUAAUUCCGGGAGUGCUAGUCCUGCAAUGGGCAGCGGCCACUGGCCUGGGAUACAUUCUGCAACUGUUCAAGAUGUUAGAUUUGUUGAUGACACUGGUAGAGGCUACAAAAUUGAUCCAUGGCCCGGGGGCCUUGUUGCUUCUAUCUCCCACAAAAAAUGCUAUGGAGCCGUUCUAUCUGUAGACGAAAUGUUUUACUAUGGCGGACCUGGUGGUUGUACUAUGUAG